AUUGGGCGUAAAGAGCUCGUAGGCGGUUCAACAAGUCGGGUGUUAAACCCCCAGGCUCAACCUGGGGCCGCCACCCGAAACUGUUGUGACUAGAGUUUGGUAGGGGAUCACGGAAUUCCUGGUGUAGCGGUGGAAUGCGCAGAUAUCAGGAGGAACACCAGUAGCGAAGGCGGUGAUCUGGGCCAAUACUGACGCUGAGGAGCGAAAGCGUGGGGAGCGAACAGGAUUAGAUACCCUGGUAGUCCACGCCGUAAACGGUGGGCACUAGGUGUGGGGACUUUUCAACGGUUUCCGCGCCGCAGCUAACGCAUUAAGUGCCCCGCCUGGGGAGUACGGUCGCAAGACUAAAACUCAAAGAAAUUGACGGGGGCCCGCACAAGCAGCGGAGCAUGUGGCUUAAUUCGAUGCAACGCGAAAAACCUUACCUAGAUUUGACAUGCUGGGAAAAGCCGCAGAGAUGUGGUGUCCUUCGGGGCUCAGCACAGGUGGUGCAUGGCUGUCGUCAGCUCGUGUCGUGAGGUGUUGGGUUAAGUCCCGCAACGAGCGCAACCCUUGUUCUAUGUUGCCAGCACGUAAUGGUGGGGACUCGUAGAAGACUGCCGGGGUCAACUCGGAGGAAGGUGGGGACGACGUCAAGUCAUCAUGCCCCUUACGUCUAGGGCUGCACACAUGCUACAAUGGGCGGUACAGAGGGCCGCUAAACCGCGAGGUGGAGCCAAUCCCUAAAACCGCUCUCAGUUCAGAUUGCAGGCUGCAACUCGCCUGCAUGAAGUUGGAGUUGCUAGUAAUCCCGGAUCAGCACUGCCGGGGUGAUACGUUCC
rnacentral:rRNA from 1 species